GGCUCGGUGGUGUAAUGGUAGCACGCGCUCUCGGUAUGCGUGAAAAGCGAGUUCAACUCCCGCUUGGAGUUG